rnacentral:rRNA from 1 species
AACGAACGCUGGCGGCAUGCCUAACACAUGCAAGUCGAACGAGACCUUCGGGUCUAGUGGCGCACGGGUGCGUAACGCGUGGGAACCUUCCCUUAGGUUCGGAAUAACUCCCCGAAAGGGGUGCUAAUACCGGAUAAUGUCUUCGGACCAAAGAUUUAUCGCCUUUGGAUGGGCCCGCGUUGGAUUAGCUCGUUGGUAGGGUAAAAGCCUACCAAGGCGACGAUCCAUAGCUGGUCUGAGAGGAUGAUCAGCCACACUGGGACUGAGACACGGCCCAGACUCCUACGGGAGGCAGCAGUGGGGAAUAGUGGACAAUGGGCGAAAGCCUGAUCCAGCAAUGCCGCGUGAGUGAUGAAGGCCUUAGGGUUGUAAAGCGCUUUUAACCGGGAUGAUAAUGACAGUACCGGGAGAAUAAGCUCCGGCUAACUCCGUG